AUCUUUCUGGUUCAUAAGCAUGAUGAUUGGGUGUUUGCAAUGUUGUGUGAGAUGUACCUUCCUGUAAAUCUUGUUUUGAUGUUGGCACAUUACCUGUCUGACG
ensembl:snoRNA